rnacentral:rRNA from 1 species
UACGUAGGGUGCGAGCGUUGUCCGGAAUUAUUGGGCGUAAAGAGCUUGUAGGCGGUCUGUCGCGUCUGCUGUGAAAAUCCGGGGCUCAACCCCGGACUUGCAGUGGGUACGGGCAGACUAGAGUGUGGUAGGGGAGACUGGAAUUCCUGGUGUAGUGGUGAAAUGCGCAGAUAUCAGGAGGAACACCGAUGGCGAAGGCAGGUCUCUGGGCCACUACUGACGCUGAGAAGCGAAAGCAUGGGGAGCGAACAGG